GCAGAACAGCGGGGAUGUGCAGCCACAAGCACCUGCCGCCUUUGGUCGCACAGCUUGAAGCAAUGCCCGUCUGCUGGGCCUCUGGUUUCCUGAAGAAGCUUUAAACAUCGACCCUCUCAAAGCUGAUUAUUGAGCUAUUCUACGCAUUGGCCUUUUUAACACUCGAAACGUGUAUUUACAUAUUUUCCAGUGAGAAGACCUUUUGUUAUGCUGUAAAGCACUAUUAUCCGGAGUGCUGGAGUGAAUUUCUAGCUAUUAAGGUAAUGUGAGAAGUGGAG